AAACUUACCAGGUCAAGACAUGGGCGUGAUUGACAGGCUAAUGACUUUUCUCGAUUCCAUGGAUGGUGGUGCAUGGUCGCACUUAGUUGGUGCAGUGAUUUGUCAGGUUUAUUCCGGUAACGAACGAGACCUCGGCCUUGUAAAUAACUAUGCUGCUUACAGGGACAUUGGCGGCUACGCCAAGGAAGCUCGAGGCAAUUGCAGAUCUGGAAUGCCCUUAGAUGUCCUGGGUCGCACGCGUGCUACAAUGACGCCACGAACGAGCUUGCGUGAUGAAAGUUACGCAUAAUCAGCAGUCGGCGUCUUAAGGGAUAGUCUCUUGUAACUGUGGGACUCCAACUAGGAAUGUCUCGUAAGCACAAGUCAACAUCUUGUGUUGAUUACGUCCCUGCUCUUUGUACACACCGCCCGUCGCUCCUACCGAUCGAGUGUUUAGGUGAAUUUGAUGGACGUAAGGAAGUCAAAUAAACCUGAGCACUAGAGAAGAGAAGUCGAUCCUG
rnacentral:rRNA from 1 species